AUGCCACCAUUAAUAUCCAGAAAGGCAAACUUAACUUUCUUUUAUGAGUAGACCAUCAAACUGAGCUGGACAGGUACCUCUAAGUCAGGAGUGUAAUACAAAGGACAUGUGGAAAUCCCCAGUUUGUCUCAUGAAAACAGGGUGGAUGAAGUGGCAAUUAGUGUGCGCCUUGCAAAGUCGAGACUGACACAAAUCCCAUGGCCUUAAUGAAGGAAAAAGGGGUGAAACGUCUAAGAGAAGCAGUGGGGAUUUACAUCAGCACCCUCAAAACAGAGUUCACUCAGGGCAUGAUUUUGCCCACAGUGAACGGAGAGUCGGUAGACCCAGUGGGUCCGUCAGCACUAAAGACUGAGGUAUGCCAGGCUAAGUCUGCUCCUUCCAAAAGCCAGGCCAAACCUGUUGGUGUCAAAAUCCUCACUUGUAAGACUUCCCUUAAAGAGACCUUCCUGACGUCACCAGACAAGCUCUAAAGAAUGUUUAUCACCUCGGAGCUGGUGCAGGCCUUUCCCCAUGCUCCUGCAACCUUAGAAGCAGACAAAGGUGGGACACUCCGCAUGGUUGAUGGCAACGUCACCGGAGAGUUUACUGAUCUGGUCCCUAAGAAACACAUCGCUAUGAAGCGGCAGUUUAAGCCAUGGCUAGAGGGGCACUUUGCUACCAUUACCUUGACCUUUGUUGGCAAGAACGGAGAGACAGAGCUGUGCAUGAAAGGCCAGAGCAUCCCUGCUCCUGAGGAAGAGCGGACGUGGCGAGGCUGGCAACGGUACUACUUUGAGGGCAUCAAGCAGACCUUUGGCUGUGGCACUCACUUGUUUUAG